rnacentral:lncRNA from 1 species
GACCAAUACUCUUCCCAUGGGAGACAAGGAAGAAACCCUAGCCGUCAAGAUUUUUCUCUCCUCGUAUAAACGAGAGAGCGACCUUUGCCGUCUAACUAAUUAAGUAGCAUCCUUUUUAAUUGUUAAAAUGAUACUUUUAUUCCACUUUUAUUAUUGUUAAUUGAACAAAUUUCUUUGGACAAUGAUUCCUUCCUUGCCCAUAAGGAGGAAUUUCUUAUUCCCUUUUAUUGUGACUCAACUACAAAGUGACAUGUGCCCGCUUUUUAAGUUGUCAAAUAUUUUUUUAUUAUUAUGUUGGCAUCAACUCUCGAAAGUGCUCUUUUUUUUUUCUCCACUAAUUUUCUUUUUCUUUUUAUUUUCCUUCCUUAGUCAAAAUUUGAAGUCUUUGUUGCUCUUUCCAACUCUAACAUCGAUAAUCCCCUACAACCAAAGUUGUCACUAAUAACAUUGCUAGAUGGCUCAUUACUUAACUGGGUUUCCCAUUAACAUGCAUUGCAAUUAACCAAUUAAACAAAAC